GUCGCCAUUUGUAUAACUGAACAUGUGCUCUUUGGAAUGGCAGCCAUCUUGUCUGCUGAACGCAGGCACCGGUACUUUGUCGUUGACGGCAUAGAGCUAAAUUCGGACUCUGAACCAUCACAAAUCCCAGUGAACUUAUACUGCCGCCUGCUCCUCCUACAGACAAGCCAGGAGAGUGCUCUUUGGGGAAAAGACUCAGUGAACUACAAGGAACAUUCGCUCCCCAAGAGCCAGG